ACGGAAGGCAGCAGUGGGGAAUAUUGGACAAUGGGGGAAACCCUGAUCCAGCGACGCCGCGUGAGUGAAGAAGUAUUUCGGUAUGUAAAGCUCUAUCAGCAGGGAAGAUGAUGACGGUACCUGACUAAGAAGCCCCGGCUAACUACGUGCCAGCAGCCGCGGUAAUACGUAGGGGGCAAGCGUUAUCCGGAUUUACUGGGUGUAAAGGGAGUGUAGGCGGCUGCGCAAGUCAGAAGUGAAAGCCCGGGGCUUAACCCCGGGACUGCUUUUGAAACUGCGUAGCUUGAGUGCAGGAGAGGCAAGCGGAAUUCCUAGUGUAGCGGUGAAAUGCGUAGAUAUUAGGAGGAACACCAGUGGCGAAGGCGGCUUACUGGACUGUAACUGACGUUGAGGCUCGAAAGCGUGGGGAGCAAACAGGAUUAGAUACCCUGGUA
rnacentral:rRNA from 1 species